rnacentral:ncRNA from 2 species
UUUCAGCCCCGUGGCGAUUUGUUGACGGAUUGCGGGCCACGUAAAACAUGCCGCUAAAAGGUCGGACGAGAGAGCCC